UGAUAUGUUUGAUAUUUGGUUGUUAACUUCUAUCCAACCAAUAUAUCAAACAUAUGAUC
rnacentral:pre_miRNA from 2 species